UGAAUUGACAACUCAACUGCUAAUACUUGAAAAUAUUCUUUGGCUCCCCUUGUGUCGAAUCAAUAAAUUUGGGUUGAAUACUCUACCCUCGAAAACUGUUGCGAUCCCCUAUACUUGUGGGUUAUUAGAGUGCCAUGCAUCAUCGGCGCCGGAGGGCCGCACUUCGCAACCCCGGCUUUAAUAAAGAGGCGUUUGACGCCUCCAGCUCGGCUGAUGCGUACAUCCGAACUGCCCGGGAUGGGCUUACCAGAGCCACUGACCAGUAUUUGAAAGAUAUGCGGGUACUCAAAGAGAAGAACAACAUGAUGUCUCAAGAGCUGUAAAAGUGCCGGACUCAACUAGCUGUUGCUACUGCCGAACUGGAGAAGUCCAAGGAGGCACCGGCCGGAUCAGUAGAUCAACUGAAAGAGGAAAUGAAGGUCGCGCAGGCGGGUAAACAACAGGCCGAAAGGCAACUAGCUGCAGGCGAACGUGUAUUGACACGGAUCAGAGAUGAUAAGAACAAGCUGCAGGAUUCCAACACCCUGCUAGGCGAAGAGCUAAAAGAUGUACCAGCCUAGCUAGCGGACGCCGUAAAGGAAAAUAGGAGGCUACAAGGCGGCAUAUUCAGUAUGCUGACUGGCCGUCCCGAAGAGGAAGUGUCCGGAUCUCAAGGCGAUUUGCUGCAAGAGCUGUCCCAGGUGCACGAGCGAGCUCGGCAAGCAAUGCGGAGCGUUUCCAAGGCUUUGUGGCCAUCCGCCUCCCCUCCAGGACGUAUGGAGGAGCUUGUGAAGCUAUUCCAAGGAGCUCGGCGGCGCUUUCGAUUAUGGAAAAUAUCGGCCUGCCGAGAAGGUGCACGAGAGGCCUGGGCCAUGGUUAAAACAUGGUACACCAAGCUUGAUCCGAAUCAUAUGGCCCGGGUCGGAC